rnacentral:rRNA from 1 species
GACGAACGCUGGCGGCGUGCUUAACACAUGCAAGUCGGACGGAAAGGCCCUGCUCUUGUGGGGUGCUCGAGUGGCGAACGGGUGAGUAACACGUGAGUAACCUGCCCUUGACUUUGGGAUAACUUCAGGAAACUGGGGCUAAUACCGGAUAGGAGCUCCUGCUGCAUGGUGGGGGUUGGAAAGUUUCGGCGGUUGGGGAUGGGCUCGCGGCUUAUCAGCUUGUUGGUGGGGUAGUGGCUUACCAAGGCUUUGACGGGUAGCCGGCCUGAGAGGGUGACCGGCCACAUUGGGACUGAGAUACGGCCCAGACUCCUACGGGAGGCAGCAGUGGGGAAUAUUGCACAAUGGGCGGAAGCCUGAUGCAGCAACGCCGCGUGCGGGAUGACGGCCUUCGGGUUGUAAACCGCUUUCGCCUGUGACGAAGCGUGAGUGACGGUAAUGGGUAAAGAAGCACCGGCUAACUACGUG